AGGGUUUGAUCAUGGCUCAGAACGUACGCUGGCGGCACGCCUUAUACAUGCAAGUCGAACGAAGUAGCAAUACUUAGUGGCAGACGGGUGAGUAACAUGUAGGUAUCUUCCCUUUGGUGAGGAAUAACACGAGGAAACUUGUGCUAAUACCUCAUAAGUCUUUACGGAGAAAGCUUUAUGCGCCAAUGGAUGAGCCUGCACUUGAUUAGUUUGCUGGUGGGGUAAUGGCCUACCAAGACUUUGAUCAAUAGCUGAUCUGAGAGGAUGAUCAGCCACAUUGGGACUGAGACACGGCCCAAACUCCUACGGGAGGCAGCAGUAGGGAAUAUUGCACAAUGGAGGAAACUCUGAUGCAGCGAUGCCGCGUGAGUGAAGAAGGCCUUUGGGUUGUAAAGCUCUUUCGUCGGGGAAGAAAAUGACUGUACCCGAAUAAGAAGGUCCGGCUAACUUCGUGCCAGCCGCCGCGGUAAUAC
rnacentral:rRNA from 1 species